rnacentral:ncRNA from 1 species
CUGUGAGGUUUAAGAGGACUGAAGGAAGGUGCAGGCAAACCUCUGCAACAACGUACAGAAACCAUUUACAGGAUAAAGCAGGAGGAUAAGGCUGGUUAGAUAAGUCGAAGUCCGAAAAGCAUAUCGUGCCGUACAUCACAGGGA